rnacentral:rRNA from 1 species
UACGGAGGGGGCUAGCGUUGUUCGGAAUUACUGGGCGUAAAGCGCACUUAGGCGGACUGUUAAGUCGGGGGUGAAAUCCCGGGGCUCAACCCCGGAAUGGCCUUCGAUACUGGCGGUCUUGAGGUCUGGAGAGGUGAGUGGAAUUCCGAGUGUAGAGGUGAAAUUCGUAGAUAUUCGGAGGAACACCAGUGGCGAAGGAGGCUCACUGGCCAGAUACUGACGAUGAGGUGCGAAAGCGUGGGGAGCAAACAGG